rnacentral:ncRNA from 1 species
CACCAUGGGAGUUGGUAACGCCCGAAGUCAGUGACCCAACCGUAAGGAGGGAGCUGCCGAAGGCGGGACUGAUAACUGGGGUGAAGUCGUAACAAGGUAGCCGUAUCGGAAGGUGCGGCUGGAUCACCUCCUUU